rnacentral:lncRNA from 1 species
AUGCAUUAUUUUAUUUUUUUUUGGUAAUUUUUUUUACAACUUUAUGAAAUUUUUUUUUAUAAUUAUGUACUAGCCCCUUGACACAUGCUCACGCAUGUGUCAAUUGGUUUUCUUUUUCUUUUUUAUUUUAUUUUUAGAAUUAAUAAAAGAUAACAGGGUAGUUAUGUUCCAUAAAAGUAGGACCUAUUAUCUUAUUUUGUUU